GACGAACGCUGGCGGCGUGCUCAAUACAUGCAAGUCGAGCGGUAAGGCCCUUUCGGGGGGUACACGAGCGGCGAACGGGUGAGUAACACGUGGGUGACCUGCCCUCCAGCUCUGGGAUAAGCCUGGGAAACUGGGUCUAAUACCGGAUAUGACUUCGCAUCGCAUGGUGUGGGGUGGAAAGUUUUCGGUCUGGGGAGUGGGCCCGCGGCCUAUCAGCUUGUUGGUGGGGUGAUGGCCUACCAAGGCGACGACGGGUAGCCGGCCUGAGAGGGCGACCGGCCACACUGGGAC
rnacentral:rRNA from 1 species